rnacentral:misc_RNA from 1 species
AAAUCAUCGACCUCCGUCGAUCUCUGAUCGGUCGGAGGCUUGGACUUUGGAGCGUGCUGGCCUGAGGUCGGCUCCUCUUUAAAUGCAUCAGCGGAAGACCAUUGACGUCUCCCGUUGGCGUGAUAAUCCUGUUACGCCGCCAGGGUCUCGUUGGGGCUCGCUUAUAAUCGUCUUCGGACAACAUCCU